AGUUUGAUCAUGGCUCAGGAUUAACGCUGGCGGUAUGCCUAACACAUGCAAGUCGAACGGAAUACUCGAAAAGAGAAUCUCACACUAGUGAGAGGUUCUCCAACCGAGUAUUUAGUGGCGGACGGGUGAGUAACACGUUGGAACCUGCCCCGAAGUGGGGAAUAACUGCUCGAAAGAGUAGCUAAUACCCCAUAGUAUCCGGUUUAUCCGGAUUAAAGAUUUAUCGCUUCGGGAGGGGCCUGCGUCUGAUUAGCUUGUUGGUGGGGUAAAAGCUCACCAAGGCGACGAUCAGUAGCUGGUUCGAGAGGAUGACCAGCCACACUGGGACUGAGAUACGGCCCAGACUCCUACGGGAGGCAGCAGUGAGGAAUCUUCCACAAUGGACGAAAGUCUGAUGGAGCAAUACCGCGUGCAGGACGACGCUUUUCGGAGUGUAAACUGCUUUUGUCGUCGAAGAUUAUGACUGUAGACGAAGAAUAAGGACCGGCUAACUACGUG
rnacentral:rRNA from 1 species